rnacentral:miRNA from 1 species
UGGGUGGGGGUUUAGAAACCACCUCUCUUCACUUACUUCUGAAAAAUUAAAAGGUAGUGGAGACUGGUGUGGCUGAACCUCUUGCCUCCC